UACGUAGGGUGCAAGCGUUGUCCGGAAUUAUUGGGCGUAAAGAGUUCGUAGGCGGCUUGUCGCGUCCGUUGUGAAAGCUUGGGGCUCAACCCCAAGUCUGCAGUGGAUACGGGCAGGCUAGAGUCAGGUAGGGGAGAAUGGAAUUCCUGGUGUAGCGGUGAAAUGCGCAGAUAUCAGGAAGAACACCCGUGGCUAAGGCGGUUCUCUAGUACGGUACUGACGCUGAGACGCGAAAGCGUGGGGAGCGAACAGG
rnacentral:rRNA from 1 species